rnacentral:rRNA from 1 species
CGGAACACCGGCAGCCCGAGUGGUGAUCACUAUUAUUGGGUCUAAAGGGUCCGUAGCCGGUUUAAUCAGUCUUCUGGGAAAUCUAAUCGCUUAACUAUUAGGCUUCCAGGGGAUACUGUUAGACUUGGGACCGGGAGAGGUAAGAGGUACUGCAGGGGUAGGAGUGAAAUCUUGUAAUCCCUGUGAGACCACCAGUGGCGAAGGCGUCUUACCAGAACGGGUCCGACGGUGAGGGACGAAAGCUGGGGGCACGAACCGGAUUAGAUACCCGGGUAGUCCCAGCUGUAAACGAUGCUCGUUAGGUGUCAGGAACGGUGCGACUGUUUCUGGUGCCGAAGGGAAGCCGUGAAACGAGCCACCUGGGAAGUACGGCCGCAAGGCUGAAACUUAAAGGAAUUGGCGGGGGAGCACUACAACGGGUGGAGCCUGCGGUUUAAUUGGACUCAACGCCGGAAAACUCACCGGGGGCGACAGCAAUAUGUAGGUCAGGUUAAAGGUCUUACCUGAAUCGCUGAGAGGAGGUGCAUGGCCGUCGUCAGUUCGUACUGUGAAGCAUCCUGUUAAGUCAGGCAACGAGCAAGACCCGUGCCCACUGUUACCAGCAUAUCCUUUAUGGAUGAUGGGGACUCUGUGGGGACCGCUGCUGCUAAAGCAGAGGAAGGUGCGGGCUACGGUAGGUCAGUAUGCCCCGAAUCUCCCGGGCUACACGCGGGCUACAAUGGUUGGGACAAUGGGUAUCUACUCCGAAAGGAGUUGGCAAUCUCUUAAACCCAAUCGUAGUUCGAAUUGAGGGCUGUAACUCGCCCUCAUGAAGCUGGAAUCCGUAGUAAUCGCGUUUCAACAUAGCGC